rnacentral:tRNA from 31 species
GCGGAAGUGGCUCAGUGGUAGAGCAUCACCUUGCCAAGGUGAGGGUCGCGGGUUCGAAUCCCGUCUUCCGCUC